rnacentral:rRNA from 1 species
AACCAGUACCGUGAGGGAAAGGCGUAAAGCACCCCUGUGAGGGGUGUGAAAUAGAACCUGAAACCGUGUACGUACAAGCAGUAGGAGCAGGCUUUGUCCUGUGUCUGCGUACCUUUUGUAUAAUGGGUCCGCGAUUUAUAUUCAGUGGCAAGGUUAACCAUCUAGGGGAGCCGUAGGGAAACCGUGUCUUAACUGGGCGGUCAGUCUCUGGAUAUAGACCCGACACCAGGUGAUCUAGCCAUGGGCAGGUUGACGGUUGAGUAACAUCAACUGGAGGACCGCACCGACUAAUGUUGAAAAAUUAGCGGAUGACUUGUGGAUAGGGGUGAAAGGCCAAUCAAACCUGGAGAGAGCUGGUUCUCCCCGAAAGCUAUUUAGGUAGCG